UAUUUGAUCCUUGUCUGAAACAAGUUUUGCACAUCAAUAAGAUUUUCACUUAAUUUAUAAACAUUUGAAAAUUUUGACUUUUUUUUCAAAAACAGAUUACAAUAAAUAGAUCUAUAACAACAAAUAUUGCUUUUAAUUUUACAUAUGUUUCUCUUUGAUAAUACAACACUGCUUUGAGCUCAUUCAGAUACAUAAAGAUGGUUACAUUUAUACCUCCAAAUACACACAUUUACACUCAACUCAUUCACACACACUUUUCCAAACAUUCACUACUGCUUACAUGUUCAUAAUACAUGUAUUUUGUAUACACCAUUUCAUUGUUUCUCCAGUUCUACAUUUAUGAUAAAAAUAAGGGCCUCUUAUUAAUAUAAGUUUGUCUACUUGUAAUCAUGGUUGGUUACUCAUUUUAACGGAAUGUGUUAUUUUGCCAUACAGUGUAUUGUGGAAAUAAAAGGGUCUAAAACACUGGUUGAUUAUUCUAUAAGUAAAAUGAUGUGUUCCUUGGUUUAAAUAUUUUCUUUUUUUGGAAAAUAUACUUGGUGCUACCAUAUUUUAUAAAUUAAUUCCUUUUUUGAACAUUUUGAUUGAUUGUCCACAUAUUGUUGUAAUCUACUAAACUAUUAUUCACAACUGACUAAUUUUUUGCAAGAAAAAUUAUGCAAAUAUAAAUAUUGGCAAAUAUGUCAAACUUGGAGUUUUUAAUUGGCCACACUAACAAGUUUAGAAAACUGUGGAUGUAAAUUGCAGCAUAAUUGGCUUAAAAGGGCCAAAAGUUUUACUGGAAAAACUUGAAUUUUCUUUCAAAAAGUGUUCAAAUUAUUUUUUAUUUUAGAUUUAUCAAUUGACACAUUGCCUCAAAGAGAACAUUAAAUAAAUAAUGUUACUGUUAAAUAAAUACAUGAAUUGCUAAAUGUUGGAUGUAGUGCUGAAUUAAUCAUUACCAAAAACAGACAAAAAAUAUGAUUUAAUAUUAGAAUGCCUUAAUUUCUAAAAUGCUUGUUCUUGCAUGAAUAUUAUUUUGUAAUUAAUAUAUGUUAAGAGUUCUCUUGGAAGAAUAUUAGUGCAGCCUUGUUUGUUUAACAUUUUACACCAAUACUUAUGUAACUGUUAACUAUUUUACAAUUGACUCUUUUAAACAAAAUUUGGAUACUCAAGAGGUUCAGGUGAAUCUGUUUUUUUUAAUGUUAAGUUACCUGAAACAAACAGUUUCAGUAGAGCAAUAUUGAUCUUAAUCAGUAAUGCUUAUCAGAUGUUAAAAUUAACUUUACCAACUCCAAGAAAAUUAUAUAACACCAAUCCAUAUUUGGGGUAACUGAAAUGUGUUUGGUUACA
rnacentral:lncRNA from 1 species